UACGUAGGGGGCGAGCGUUGUCCGAAGUUACUGGGCGUAAAGCGCGCGUAGGCGGGUUGUUAAGUGAGAAGUGAAAGGCUGAGGCUCAACCUCAUGCAGUGCUUCUCAUACUGGCAGUCUUGAGGGAGGCAGAGAGAAGUGGAAUGGCUGGUGUAGCGGUGAAAUGCGUAGAUAUCAGUCGGAACACCCGUGGCGAAGGCGGCUUCUUGGGCCUUUCCUGACGCUGAGGCGCGAAAGCCAGGGGAGCGAACGGG
rnacentral:rRNA from 1 species